rnacentral:rRNA from 1 species
UACGGAGGAUUCAAGCGUUAUCCGGAUUUAUUGGGCGUAAAGCGAGUGCAGGCGGUUCAAUAAGUCUGAUGUGAAAGCCUUCGGCUCAACCGGAGAAUUGCAUCAGAAACUGUUGAACUUGAGUGCAGAAGAGGAGAGUGGAACUCCAUGUGUAGCGGUAAAAUGCGUAGAUAUAUGGAAGAACACCGGUGGCGAAGGCGGCCGUCUGGCCUGCAUCUGACGCUGAGGCACGAAAGCGUGGGGAGCAAACAGG